rnacentral:lncRNA from 1 species
GACCUUGGGCUAAACUGACCCAGGAAAGACCUUCCACACUCUCCAAGUUGUCUUUAUUUGAAAAGCAUGUUCAGUGACCCUAUCAAAGCGGUCAGCUGGCCAGACCCAGAGGCUGCUGUCUCAAGGAAACAGUAAACCGGACGAAGGACGCCUCUCUCAUAUUCGGCUGACAUGCUUUAUGUGGGAUCACUCUUACGACAACAGAAGGUAGAUAAAAAGGCUCUGUUACAAUUUCUUGGAAAUAAUAAACUAACUCGGAGGGACUCGUAUGCCAAGGAGUCUGAAGAUGAAUGCCUGGCUAUAAAAGAGUAUUCGCUUCGUAUUUCAUAGAGCUGUGGUUCUGCUGCCUGGCAGUCUGAACUCCCCAGGUGAUCCUGAUACGGUGGUCCAGGGACGUCACCUGGGGAGACACUCGUCCGUUGAUUUGUCCUAAGAGAUUGCAAGCUGCUGAGGAAUCGGGACCCAGGAUGGGCAGAUGGCAAGGCGGAGGCACCGAGAGGGGAGGGAGCUGCCGUGCGUCAGCAGCUCCAGGAGACAGAGCCAGGAUGCGGGUCCAGGCACUUGGCUCCAUGACCUGGCGCUCACUAUCACUGCUCAGGAAAGAAGAAGAAAAAAGCAAAGACAAAGUAUGGCAACCGAAACAGAUACAGGGCAGACAUUCUUCAGACCCAUCUACGUGCUGCAGAGAAGGAAGCUAGGAUCCGAGGCUGCACAGCCAAGGUCACAUCAGGGGUGAGCGAGGAUGGGGCCAGGGGCCUAGUGGAACCUCCCAGCCCGUUGUCUUACCAAGCCCUUGCCCCCAGUGGGUGAGUGCCCCUGACAGCAGCAAGGAAGUAAAAAUGAAGCUUACAAAUCACAGAAAGAGCAGCAGACUUCAGACGCCAGGAGCUGAGCUCAGAGCUGCACUGCGGGGCCUCGUCUUGGGGAGCAGGAUUUCGAAGGCACCUGCUUCAUUGCCAGACACCCCGACAGCCACUCUGGGCACGUCGUUUUCGAGAUUCAUUUAAGCAAUAUUCGCUUCUCCGCCCCGCUCAACACGUCUGAGCUUUUUUUUUUUUGCGGCUAAGUCCUAGAGGGACGUUAGUGCAGAAAUGAUAUUUAUCUGCCUCGCCAACAAGCGUGCUUCCAGUUUCACGAUGAGACAAUUUGGAUAUCUGUAGGCAUGUAUUUCAUUGUUUUCUGAUUGUGAAGGUGAUAUAUGUUGAUUAUAAAAGCUUGGAAAAUACAGAAAAGGACGAGAAGGAACUGAAAAGUCACCCAUCAUUUGGAGACAACAGCUGUCAGCACUUCUAAUUACAUAAGCGUGUUUUUAAACCAUGUGAAUAAGCAAUAUUUAUUAUACAGAUUAUGUGUUAAGGUAUUUAGGAAUACAUACGUAUGUAUGUGGAAAACGUUAAAGAAAAGCAAAGGAAUAAUGAAUGCAAAUUAAGAAUCGUGAUUAACUUUGGGGGGAAGGGAGGGGCACACAGGCUGCAAAUGGACAGCCCGUGUUUUUAUUCUAAUCUGGGAGGGGGUGCUUGGUGUGCAUUGUUCUUU